CUUCACAACAAUUCUAGGAGUCAGGUUCAAUUGUUAUUGCCAUUUGAUAGAUGAUGAGGGCAAUGAGUCUUAGAGAGGUUAAAUAAUUUGCUAAAGGCCACACAGCCUGUAAAGUGGCAGAAGCUGGGACCAUCCAACUCUAAAGCCCACAUUCUUAGACAUUAGGGGAUAUUGAAUGAAGUGUGUGUAUGUAUGGGGGAAUUUAAGAGAAUAUCAAACCAUUUGUAGAGUUCUACCCAAUAUAGAGACCUUAUCUAAUGUAAGAGAACUCUGAAGACAUCUCAUUGAUUGAAUGCUCUCCCCUUCAUAGCAACUUCUUCUGCGGCUUCCUUGCCUGGUGCUCCAGUCUUUGAGGGAAGCACGGCUGGCACGUUCUUCCGUUUGGAGACAUGGUUGACAAUUUCUCCAUAAUGGGGACACAACUGGCAAUUUUCCUACAGAGUGAGGCAGAUGGCAAUUUUCCUUCAGAGACAUGCAGGCAACAGUUUUGCCCCUGGAGAGAAAAGCCUCGCCGAUUGAGAUGCAGCCAGUAAUUUUUACUAUACAGAAGACACAUCCAAUAAUUUUGCCCAGUGAGAGAAACGGCCAACAAUUUUCCCACAGAGGACAGGAAAAACAGACCAAAAAUUCAUAGUGGGGAGAAGUGAGGAGCAAAUGGGCUGGUAUGACCAAGAAAGACUUAAUAAGAAGCUGAGCCUUAAAUGAUCAAGAAGCACUGGAUAGAUAAGAGCACUGUUCACAAUAGCCAAGAUUUGGAAGCAACCUAAGUGUUCACCAACUGAUGAAUGGAUAAAGAAAAUGUGGUACUUAUAUACAAUGAAGUACUAUUCAGCCAUGAAAAAGAAUGAGAUCCUGUCACUUGCAACAACAUGGAUGGAACUGCAGGUCUUUAUGUUAAGUGAAAUGAGCCAGGGACAGAAAGACAAACCUUGCAUGUUCUCACUUAUUUAUGGAAGCUAAAAAUCAAAACAAUUGAGUUCAUGGAGAUAGAGAGUAGAAGGAUGGUUACCAGAGGUUGGGGGGCAGGGGGAAGUGGGUUAAUGGUUAAUGGGUACAAAAAAAUAGAAAGGAUGAAUAAGAACUAGUAUGUGAUAGCACAACAGGGUGAUUAUAGUCAAUAUUAAUUUAAUUGCACAUUUAAAAAUAAAGGAGUAUAACCAGAUCGUUUGUAACAUAAAGAGUACAUGCUUGAGGUGAUGAAUAUACCGUUUACCCCAAUGUGAUUAUUACUCAUUGCAUGUGUGAAUCAAAAUAUCUCAUGUACCUCAUAAAUAUAUACACCUCUGUACCCAUAAAAAGACGUCAACAAGUUCUAGUGUCACACACCAUUUAAACAACAGGUAUUGAGUACCCAGUGUGUGUAAAGCACUAUGAUAGGUGCUAGAGUUACAAGAGUGAGCAAGAGAUAUACCAUGCCUACGCUCCUUCAACAAAGAGUGGGGCUUCUUAUCUACCAUGGCUGGGGCUUCCUCUCAUCUCUCUCUCUCUCUCUCUUUUUUUUUUUUUUGAAGCAGAGUCUCGCUCUGUCACCGAGGCUGGAGUGCAGUGGCGCGAUCUCAGCUCACUGCAACCUCUGCCUCCUGGGUUCAAGCGAUUCUUGUGCCUCAGCCUCCCCAGUAGCUGGGAUUACAGACGUGUGCCACCACGCCCAGCUAAUUUUUGUAGUUUUAGUAGAGAUGGGGUUUCACCAUGUUGGCCAGGCUGUCUCCAACUCCCGACCUCAGGUGAUCCACCUGCCUUGGCCUCCCAAAGUGCUGGGAUUACAGGAGUGAACCACCAUGCCAGCCAUCUCUUGCUCAAUUCCCCUGUAGUAGGCAGAAUAAUGCCAUUGCCCCCAUCCCCAAAUAUGUCUACACCCUAAUCCCUAGAACCUGUGACCACGUUAUGUUACAUGACAAGGGGGAAUUAAGGUUGCUAAUCAGCUAACCUUAAGACAGAUUACGUUAGAUUAUCUGAGUGGGCUCAGUGUAAUGACCAUGGUCCUUAUAAGUGAAAUAGGAAGGCAAGAGGGUCAAAGUCUGAAUAACCGUAUAUGAGAAAGACAAGACUGGUCACCGCUGUCUUUGAAGAUGGAAAGGUGCCAUGAGCCAAGGGAGGCAGGCAGCCUCUCGAAGCUCAAAAAGGCAGGUAGCCAUUCUCCCCUAGAGCCUCCAGAAAGGAGCACAGCCCUGCUGACACCUUGACUUUAGCCCAGUGAGACCCACUUCUGACUUUUGACUUCCAGAACUGUAAGGACGUUAAUCAAUUUGUGUUAUUUUAAGCCACUAAGUUCAUUAAGUAUGUGAUAAUUUGUUACAGCAGUGAUAGAAAACUAUCCUCCUCCGUUUGUCAACAAAGGGAGGGCUCAAAGUUCAUGAAUUCCCCCUUCAACUCUGCAAAGCCGCUGUUAUUAUUUCCCUGCACCCCAGGGCCAGUUCCCUUUCAGCAGCUGCCCCUAUACAGCUGGACAGGGAAGGCAGGCCAGAGCGGGCUGCUUCUGGGCAGAGGCCAUGAGAGGCUCACUGUCCAAGGGAGCUGGUGAACCCCAGCUCAGCCACUCUUUCCUCCCAGCAUUCCUGAUGCUGGUGCUGUACACCCAUAAGCCGACACAGUUCAGAGAAACCAGAACCCAGCGGCUGCAAAGGCAGAGCAAGCCAAACUCCUCAGAGACAUCAGGGCUUAGCAGCAGAACAUGAAACGACCGGCAAUCCUACCAUGUGCUAAAUAUUUGAAUCUUCCCAAAGCAAUGCCACUUUGUGCUCAGACAUCUACAGUGACUCUGUGUGGCUGAUAGCCAACAGUCCUACCCCCUUGUCCUGGUUCAGGGGCUCCAUAUCAAGCCCUAGGUCAGCAUUCCAAUAUUACUCUCUACUUCAUUCUGCUGAAAUGCUCCAUUGAGGUCUGACCCAUCUACUACUCAUUUGCACCAGAGUUGAAUAACUCCUACCUCCAGGGUCCAGGCAGGUAGUGAAAUAGAUGACACAUUCAUGGGUAGCAAUAGGGAACAGUAGGGACUGUGGCAAACUAGAGUGUCCACACCCUAUAAAAGGGGCAGUUUCCACCUGAGGUCAGCAGUUCGAAGCCAGCCUGGCCAACAAGGCAAAACCCCGUCUCUACUAAAAAAAAAAAAAAAAAAAAUACAAACAUUAGCUGGGUGCAGUGGUGUGUGCCUGUAAUCCCAGCUCCUCCAGAGGCUGAGGCAGGAGAAUUGCUUGAACCUGGUAGGCGGAGAUUGCACUCCAGCCUGGGUGACAAAGCAAGACUCUCUCAAAAACAAACCCAAAAUACAAACAAACAAAACAAAACCAUAAAGGGGCAAUUUCCACUCUGCUCCGGCUGAAUGCAGCCAUGCAGAAAUGGGGCUCCAGCACAGCCAGACUAAUUUGUAAGGCCUAAAUUUUUUGAGGAACUCUAAUUUUUUCAUGUUAGCAACUAACUAAAGAAACUUGAGCGUGUGAUCAAACAUACGUCCUCUGUAAGCUAUGCAGGCCACACCUGUGACCUGAUUAACUCCCUGCAGUGAUGAUGGUGAUGUCUGUGGUGCACUGGCAUGUGCUGGGGCUGGAUCCAUGCUCCUUCCCUAACCUCUCCCUGCUCCCCUGUUUCUCUGGCUCCUAUUCAACCUUCAGGGCUCACUGUCUUUUUCUAGAAAAACUUCCUGGACAAUCUUGGCCCACUGCAUCCUUUCUUCCUUACUGGUUAAUUUGGCCACCUUCUAAUCUUCCUCCUAUUAUUUUUAAAUAUUAUCUGUUCAGGAUUCACAAUGAGUUAAAAAAUUUUAGUUAGGGAAUUGGCCCCACAGAAAGGCAACACCAGUGACAACAAGAGCACCUGUUACCUGCCGGGCACCAUCUAGGGUAAGAAUUAUCUCUAUAUUAUGGCUGAGGAAACAGAGGCUUGGAGAGAUAGGGACCCAAAGGACCAUAUGGUCUCUGAGUGAGCCCAGCAUUGGAAGGCUCAUUAUCUGUGGGGUUAGAACUUUCUUACGAAGGAGACUCAGCUGGAAUCUGAUCUAAAGAAAGGGGAAGCGAAAACCUGUGUUUGGCUUAGGGUUCGCCUGUCAAUCUAAAGACUGAAUUUGGGCUAAUAUGUACAGACAAGUUCAUUAAUUGUGGGUCUGUUUGUCUUUCUUUUGUGAGGAAUAAUCAUUUAUUAGCCAAGCGGGACUGGUGCCUUUUUGAGAACUGUCAUUCUGGAAAGAUAUUGAUUGAAGGAGGCCUCUGAGCACAUUCUCUCCAGCAGGCAGCCGUAAGGGAGGCGGCUGCAGUCCAGACAAGAUGAUGAGUUGGCAGUGAGCAUCUCGACAGGAGCCUAAUGAAGAAAUCUGGUAACAGCGAGGGCUGGCUUUAUGAGCGCUCAUAUUUGGUCUUUCACUCUCUGCAAGGUUGGUGAGUGGCAAAAGUGUCCAUGGGCCUCUACCUCCCACUGUGGAAUUACACAUUCCUACAGCCAGUGGGCUCCGGGAACCCAAUGGCAGCAUCCCCAGGCCCCUGGGCCCACUCCACACAUCACAGGCUAGAGACUUCUUGUCUGCCUCCUUUCUCACGUCUCUCCCCCUGAGAUAGCAUGCUCUCCCCUCCCUCCUUCCCUCUCAUAAUUUGUUCCCAACAGGUAGCUUUGUGCAGUUACUCCAAGAGAAGCCCGAACUCCCUGGGGAGCCUCUGCCCAGGUGGAAGAGCUCUCGAGUGGCUAUUAUUAGGGGUGAUUGCUGGGAAGCUGGUUGCCAUGGCACCGCAGAGGCCAGUGCUGAACUCCCAAGCUGCCCCGUUUCCAAGGCUGUCUACAUAAUCACUGCAAUGAGAGGCACAGGCACAGAAAGGGAGAGAGGAGCAGCUCCCCACUGACAGUGAUCUCCCUGCAGAGCAAGGUUCCUGGAGUUUGCAAACAUCGAGUAGUGAUAGUCUUCCAUCUGCCAGGCACUGCGCUAAACUCUUUAUGGAGACAAAGAAAUGAUGCUCAGAGAGUCAUUUGCCCUUGGUCACAGGCUAAGAAGAGGCAGAGCUAGGACGUAAACCCAACUCUGGCUCUAUGGCAUCUCAUAUAGCAUCAUUUUUCCUCCAGUCCUCUGACUAGAAAGGGUGGCCCCUUCAACCUGGUGCUGAGAACAGACACUGGCGGCCCCACACCUCUGAAGGCAUGGUUCCAGCAAAUAGAAAUUGGACUGGCAAGGAUUAAACCGCUGGUUUGGGCUUCAUUAGCUAUGUGAUCUCACCAACCACAGAGAAUUAACCAGAGUGGAGCCAUCUCUUUACAGACUUAACACAAUGUACCGAGGCAAUGUGGAGAACAGUCACUGAAUUUAUUGAGCACCUACUACCUGCUCCAGACAUGCCAUUAACACGUGGGCUAUCCUUCCCUUCCACAGUCACUCUAGAACUUGAGGCCACUGUCCUCUGAUGCAGAGAGAAGAAACAUUUUAUAAUCACUGUAGACAAUAAAGGCUUUAUCUGUUAGCAAGCACUUUUGCUUAAUGACUUGGUCAUGGGGAAGGAGAGACAGGUUGUACUUGGUCCUCAUUUUGCACUUGGUUAGAGAGUAAGAGGCCUUUCCAUCUCCACUGCUGCUCAGGUACUUCCUCCCAGUGUACUCUAGCACUCCCCCAGCAGGUUCUGUAGAAACACAGACCCCAAGGCCUGGGCAGACUCUACCAGAAAAAUACUUGUGUUCCUCUGUGCUCUGCCUAGUACAUGGCUUCCCUGGCUACCUCUCCUACAGGCCUGGGGAGGCAAAGAUGGGAAGUGUUUGUAGGUAUUAUCUACUGACAACAUUCAACUUUAGACCUCGGUUCAAGCCCCCUCUACCUUUGCCUAGAUCUUUGACUUUGUGUAAACAACAUGCUUUUUCUGGGCCCAAUUUUCUCAUCUGUAACUCCAAGUUUAUGAAUUGUUUUGAUAAUAAAAUACUAAAAAAUAUUGAGUGUUUGCUGUGGACCAGACAUUUCAUUGAAUCUGCACAACAAUCCAGUAAUGCAUGUGCCAUUAUUGUCCCCAUUUUAUAGAGGUGGAUACUUAGCUGUACAGAGGGUAAAUCCAAGGAGUUAAGUCCAAGUUACCCACACCUGGGCUUGUCUGACCCCAGAACCAGCACUAUUGACCACUAUGAUAUACAGCCUCUUUCUAUCUUCAUUAAAGCCAAGUUUCCAAGCCACAGGAAUCUCAC
rnacentral:lncRNA from 1 species